GGGAUUAUGGCUCAAUAGUAGAGCACUUACUUAGUAUGUGUGAGGGGCCCUGGGUUCGAUUCUCAGUACCA
rnacentral:tRNA from 1 species